AUGGCUUCCCCAGACGAGGCUGCUGAGGGUGUGACAGAAGAGGUGGAGGAAGUUCCUGAAGAGGUGGAGGAAGUUCCUGAAGAGGUGGAGGAAGUUCCUGAAGAGGUGGAGGAAGUUCCUGAAGAGGUGGAGGAAGUUCCUGAGGAAGUGGAGGAAAUUCCUAAAGAGGUGGAGGAAGUUCCUGAGGAAGUGGAGGAAGUUCCUGAAGAAGUGGAGGAAGUUCCUGAGGAAGUGGAGGAAGUUCCUGAAGAGGUGGAGGAAGUUCCUGAGGAAGUGGAGGAAGUUCCUGAAGAGGUGGAGGAAGUUCCUGAGGAAGUGGAGGAAGUUCCUGAAGAAGUGGAGGAAGUUCCUGAAGAAGUGGAGGAUGUUCCUGAGGAGGCGGUAGUUGAUCCUGCAGAAGAUGUACCUCUUCCAGAUGAGACCGCUGAAGGUGAGGGGGAGGACACAGCUCCACCAGCGGAAGCCGGGGUAAAUGCAGCACCCUCUGAUGAACCUUCAGAGGAGCCUGCUGGAGAAGCAGUUGAAAAUGAGCAUCUAGAAGAGGAGGAAGCUGUUCCAGCAGAAGCUAGUGAAGUAAUGGAGGAAGAAGAGUCAGCUCCAGAAAAAGAGGAGAUUACUUCUCCAGAAGAGGCUGCCGAUGACGCCGCAGAAGAGGAGGAGACAGUUUCAGAAACGGUUGCUUUAGAGGAAACCUUUGAAGAAGAAACGCCCACAGAUGAGGAAGUGGAGGAAGCAGAAGACCCAGCAGCAACACUUUCGGAGGAAGACUCUGAGAAUCGUGCAGAAGAAUCAGAGGCCAUUGAGACUGAGGCAAAGGUUGAGGACAAACCCACAGAAACGUAGAGGCAGGAGGGGGUGCUGUGCUGGGGGACCCGUGACCCGCUCAUCGGCACCAAACACAAACGCUCACAAUCAUGAUGCACCUUCACAUCAAGAAAGACAAAGGCGUCAUGGCAACACCACCUCUCCUCUGUUUUUGAAGCCUGUGUGAAAGUUUUUUCUUUAAGUCAAGCUGUGAGAAAGUAGCUGUUUACUGUUGGGGUACUUUUGUUUUGGUGUCUUUCCUGAAGUGGUACUUCCUGUUUCCAUCUCUUUAUUCACAGGGCAGUUCUUAUUUUUAUGUCUCUCUGAAGAAAUAUUUUUCUUUAUCAUGAUUUUUCUUUAAGAAGUACUUCCUUUUUUCCCUUAGAGGUUCUUCCUUUUCCAUGUCUUUGCUGAACAAGCACUUCCUGUUUUCAUGACUAUCUUGAAGGAGAAUUUCCUGCCUCCACAUCUUUUCCUGAAAAAAUACUUCCAGUUCCCAUGCUUUCUUUAAGAAGUACUUUCUGUUUCCAUGCUUUCCUGAAGUACUUUCAUGAGCUCUCAUGAGUUUUCCCAUGUUUUUCCGAUUGGAGUACUUUCUGUUUUUAUGUCUUUUUUGAACAAAUACUUCCACUUUCCAGUUUUUCUGAAUGUGUACUCGCUGUUUACUUGUAUUGAUGAUCAGAGUACUUCCUUGUCCCCUGAUUUCCUGAAGAAUUUCUUCCUGUUUCCAUCAUUCUCAAAGGAGUAUUUUCUGUCUCCACAUUUUUACAUAAGUACUUACUUUUUCCAAGAUUUUCCAUAAGUAGUACUUCCUGUUUCCAUCUUUCUUGAAGGAGUACUUCCUGUCUCCACUUUUUUCCACUAGAAGUACUUCCUGAUUCGAUGUCUUUUUGAAAGAGUACUUCCUGUCUCCUGUCCUUCUUUGUGAAAUCAUUUAUCCGCAGGACUUUCAGCAUCAAAGUGACAUAUUUGGACUUUAUGGAGCGAUGUUGUUGGGUGCAUCAAAAGGGGUUGAAGCUGGGGAGGGCAGCAGGACCCCCCCCUGCGGCUCCUACAAGCAAACACUUUUCAGAUGCUGAACUUUGUUCGAUUAUGUGAAUUCUAUGCAAUUGUGUUGACCCCCCCCCAGCUCUGUUACCACACAGUGUAUGUUUUUGCCCCUCUGGACCUGAACGUUUGGUCAUCCUUUAAAACACUAACUUCGUCGUGUUUGUUUUUAUCAGUUUGGUGUGUUUAGUAGGUUUCUUUGGUGAAUGACGGAGAUGCUCCUCCCUCUUUGAGGAGCAGCAGCAUCACCUCCUCCUCUGCAGUGAGGGGUUAGCUGAGCAUCAGCUCUGGUCCUUUAACCUGUGUGUGUUUUCAGUCUCCAGUGUCGCUGUGAGGUGAUGAGGCAUGAAUCUGUCAGAAGACUCAGACCUGUAAAGGUUCUGAAGGUUCUUGUGGGUUUUAUCCCUGCUGACUGCAGCAGAAACACAAAGAUCCGCUCUGACUUCUGUACUUGAAAAGAUUUGCAGAAAAAUGUAGGAAAGCAUCACUAAGGUAGAGAGCAGCAUUCUCGUUCACAGAAGUGCACGUGUGCUAGUGUGUCUCCUCAUUCUGGGACCGUCAUGUUUGGUCAAAUGAACCAUUCCCUUUUUGAACCGUGUUUUCUAGAAAAUAACUAGCUGGUCUUUUCUACUUCCUGGUUAACCUACAAACCUUUUUAAACACUGAAGAUGAAGAACGUGACCAAGAGAGCUUCUAGAUUUUAAGAACUGUUUCCAAAUAGAAAUUUUUCUGAUACUUGCUAUAAAAAAAAAUCAGAUUUAUUUUUGUUUUUGUAGAAAAGUGUUUGGGAGUAUUCUCACUAAGCCAUAAGCUGUUGGAUGGUUUAAGGAAACGUGCUGCUUCAGACUUUUUUUCAGUGAAAACACAAUGAAACAAAAGCAGCACCACUGCCUGACUGCAGAGGGCGAUGUUCCCCUGCAGACGAGCUGACCGGAGCCUGGCCCCUUAAAUUACUUCAUGUGAUGAAUUGUUUUUGAGGCUGUAAAACAUCUGAGAGCUGCAAUAAAGAGUCUGGGAGAACGCAGUUUUGAAUCCUGCUCUUUAUUUAAAGCCGCUUUUUUCCCAUGAAUGCAGCUGUCGGACCAUCGAUCCCACCAGAACCAACAGAACUCUGAUUUACAGUUCAUCAGACAAACAUGACCCUAAUGAAACCUGCUCUGAAAGGUUAGUAAGCUUUUGAAAAACUGUCAAAUAAUCUAUGUUGAAAAGAAGCAUCUUGUUGUCAAAAAAACAACCAAACCAAAAUGAAUAAACUGAACCCACUUCAAUAAAUUCUAAAAAUUAUAUCAACCUGUCCAAGAAAAGUCACGUAAAAUUCUCUUUCUCUCGCUGAAUAAAACAACCUUCAAAAACAGACGGA
rnacentral:lncRNA from 1 species